rnacentral:lncRNA from 1 species
UUAAUUAUUUCUUGAUUUUAUUGCCCUCUUGGAUUUAAAAUUACUGAAGAGAAUAUUUCAACUUGGUUGAAAAUUGACCAAAAAAUUCAGUUUGUGCCUCAUUUAUUUUGAAUUCACCCAUAGGUAUCAAAUGUUAUGAAAUACAUGUACACCUAAGUGUUGUUAAAACCUUAAGGUAACUCAUAUGAGCCUAUACUAUGAUGCUGUAAAUUUGGUAAAGAUUGAAGGACUUUUAGAAAAAAGACUAUACUGUGAAAUAAAUUCAUAUGAAAUUGG